GCGUAAGCGCACGCAGGCGGUCUGUCAAGUCGGAUGUGAAAUCCCCGGGUCAACCUGGGAACUGCAUUCGAAACUGGCAGGCUAGAGUCUUGUAGAGGGGGGUAGAAUUCCAGGUGUAGCGGUGAAAUGCGUAGAGAUCUGGAGGAAUACCGGUGGCGAAGGCGGCCCCCUGGACAAAGACUGACGCUCAGGUGCGAAAGCGUGGGGAGCAAACAGGAUUAGAUACCCUGGUAGUCCAA
rnacentral:rRNA from 1 species